rnacentral:rRNA from 1 species
UACGUAGGGUGCAAGCGUUAAUCGGAAUUACUGGGCGUAAAGCGUGCGCAGGCGGUUUUGUAAGUCUGUCGUGAAAUCCCCGGGCUCAACCUGGGAAUUGCGAUGGAGACUGCAAGGCUAGAAUCUGGCAGAGGGGGGGUAGAAUUCCACGUGUAGCAGUGAAAUGCGUAGAGAUGUGGAGGAGCACCGAUGGCGAAAGGCAGCCCCCCUGGGUCAAGA